AUCAGCAGUUGAGCACUCCAGCCCUUCGUCAGCUGAUAAAACACACUGACGGAGGGCAAAAGAUGAAAUUGGACUAAUAUAAAGACUAGAAAGUCCCUGAUUUAAAAGGAUAAACUGGAAAAAGAGAGAAGCAGAAGUUUACUACGUGAUCCUGCGUUAUCGACGUGGAAGAUCUAGGUCUUGUAAACCCGUGUGGUCAAAAAGCUUGAAAGUCUUUUAUUAGCUUGAGGAUUUUAAAAGUCUAUUUUUGAACUAAUAGAUUCUCUCUGUCCUUUUACGGAGAAGAAGCACUCAUGUACAUCAAGACAUGAAGAGCAAUAUCAUUCCCAGCUAUUGUUACACAUCGAGGCCUGUGUGUCUGUACAGUGCACACGGAUGUGGAGGUAGAGAGCAGGGCCGAACUGACAUAGAGACUGAAGGAGAGAUGCCCAUCAGGCUCCCUUAAAGGAACAGUUCAAAAACAAAACUCAUCAUCAUUUAUUCACCUUCAUGUUGUUCCAAACAUAAAUGAUUUACUUUCUUCCAUGAAAUACAAUGACAUUCAAUGUCAGCACAAAAAAUAAAUAAAUAAAUCCAUGUGACUUGUGUUCUGUAUUUAAAGUCUCUUUUCAGAAUUAAUAAUUUUCAACUGCUGUGACUGAAUCAUUGAAUCAGUGAAAUGAAUCAGUUUGAUUCAUGAACAGAUUAUUGCUCAAACGGAAGUAUGAACCGCUCACAGAUGAACCGAUUCUUUAUCAAAGAUUUGGUUCAAAAGAAAAAUUCAUUGACAAAUUUGGCAUCACUAUUAUCUGAUUAUCCCUACACUCUUAAAAAGAGAAG